AUUGAACGCUGGCGGCGGGCCUAACACAUGCAAGUCGAGCGGAGCGGCGGACGGGUGAGUAAUGCCUAGGAAUAUGCCUGGUACUGGGGGAUAACGUCCGGAAACGGGCGCUAAUACCGCAUACUAUCAGAUGAGCCUAGGUCGGAUUAGCUAGUUGGUGGGGUAAAGGCCUACCAAGGCGACGAUCCGUAACUGGUCUGAGAGGAUGAUCAGUCAAACGGGAACGGAGACACGGUCCAGCAUCCUCCGGAAGGCAGCAGUGGGGAAUAUUGGACAAUGGGCGAAAGCCUGAUCCAGCCAUGCCGCGGGUGUGAAGAAGGUCUUCGGAUGGUAAAGCACUUUAAUUUGGACGACGUUACCAACAGAAUAAGCACCGGCUAACUUCGUGCCAGCAGCCGCGGUAAUUC
rnacentral:rRNA from 1 species